rnacentral:rRNA from 1 species
CGCCUACGGGACGCAGCAGUGGGGAAUAUUGCACAAUGGGGGAAACCCUGAUGCAGCAACGCCGCGUGAGUGAAGAAGUCAUUCGUGAUGUAAAGCUCUAUCAGCAGGGAAGAAAAUGACGGUACCUGAGUAAGAAGCCCCGGCUAACUACGUGCCAGCAGCCGCGGUAAUACGUAGGGGGCAAGCGUUAUCCGGAUUUACUGGGUGUAAAGGGAGCGUAGACGGCCAGACAAGUCUGAAGUGAAAAUCCAGCGCUUAACGUUGGAAGUGCUUUGGAAACUGUUAAGCUGGAGUACUGGAGAGGG